rnacentral:rRNA from 1 species
ACAUGCAGUCGAGCGGAGUCUUCAUUAGCUUGCUUUUGAAGAUCAGCGGCGGACGGGUGAGUAACACGUGGGCAACCUGCCUGUAAGACUGGGAUAACUUCGGGAAACCGGAGCUAAUACCGGAUAAUCCUUUCCCUCUCAUGAGGGAAAGCUGAAAGACGGUUUCGGCUGUCACUUACAGAUGGGCCCGCGGCGCAUUAGCUAGUUGGUGAGGUAACGGCUCACCAAGGCGACGAUGCGUAGCCGACCUGAGAGGGUGAUCGGCCACACUGGGACUGAGACACGGCCCAGACUCCUACGGGAGGCAGCAUAGGGAUCUUCCGCAUGGACGAAAUCUGACGGACAACGCCGCGUGAGCG